rnacentral:rRNA from 1 species
UUGUUGGUAAGGUAAAAGCUUACCAAGGCUUCGAUCAGUAGCUGGUCUGAGAGGACGACCAGCCACACUGGGACUGAGACACGGCCCAGACUCCUACGGGAGGCAGCAGUGGGGAAUUUUGGACAAUGGGGGCAACCCUGAUCCAGCCAUGCCGCGUGAGUGAAGAAGGCCUUCGGGUUGUAAAGCUCUUUCAGCCGGAACGAAACGGUUACGGUUAACACCCGUGACUACUGACGGUACCGGAAGAAGAAGCACCGGCUAACUACGUGCCAGCAGCCGCGGUAAUACGUAGGGUGCGAGCGUUAAUCGGAAUUACUGGGCGUAAAGCGUGCGCAGGUGGUUUUGUAAGUCAGAUGUGAAAGCCCCGGGCUCAACCUGGGAACUGCGUUUGAAACUACAAGACUAGAGUGUGGCAGAGGGGGGUGGAAUUCCGCGUGUAGCAGUGAAAUGCGUAGAGAUGUGGAGGAACACCGAUGGCGAAGGCAGCCCCCUGGGUCAACACUGACGCUCAGGCACGAAAGCAUGGGGAGCAAACAGGAUUAGAUACCCUGGUAGUUCAUGCCCUAAACGAUGUCAACUAGUUGUCGGGCCUUUACGGGCUUGGUAACGUAGCUAACGCGUGAAGUUGACCGCCUGGGGAGUACGAUCGCAAGAUUAAAACUCAAAUGAAUUGACGGGGACCCGCACAAGCGGUGGAUUAUGUGGAUUAAUUCGAUGCAACGCGAAAAACCUUACCUACCCUUGACAUGUAUCGAAGCCCGCAGAAAAGCGGGGGUGCCCGAAAGGGAACGAUAACACAGGUGCUGCAUGGCUGUCGUCAGCUCGUGUCGUGAGAUGUUGGGUUAAGUCCCGCAACGAGCGCAACCCUUGUCAUUAAUUGCCAUCAUUUAGUUGGGCACUUUAAUGAGACUGCCGG